AUAAUAAUAAUAAUAAUAAUAAUAGUAAAAUCGAAGAGCAUCUAAAAAACAUAAAUAAAUGAACUUUUUAAUAUAAAAAGUUAAAGGAAUAAAGAAAUAAGUAGAUGAACAAGAUAAUAAAUAAAACAAUUUAGUUUGAAAUUAUAAACAGAAAAUAAAAUAAAUAGAACAAAUAAGACAAAAAUAACAAAUAAUAUUGAUGGAGCAAAAAGGACAACGUGAUAAGGAUAUUAAUAGUAAUAAUACAAUGAGCAGUUGUAAUAAGCCAUGAAUGUAAAAAUAAAGGCAAA
rnacentral:lncRNA from 1 species